rnacentral:rRNA from 1 species
CCUACGGGAGGCAGCAGUGGGGAAUAUUGCACAAUGGGGGAAACCCUGAUGCAGCGACGCCGCGUGAGUGAAGAAGUAUUUCGGUAUGUAAAGCUCUAUCAGCAGGGAAGAAAAUGACGGUACCUGAUUAAGAAGCCCCGGGUAACUACGUGCCAGCAACCGCGGUAAUACGUAGGGGGCAAGCGUUAUCCGGAUUUACUGGGGGUAAAGGGAGCGUAGACGGCAGCACAAGGCUGGAGUGAAAUGCCGGGGCUUAACCCCGGAACUGCUUUGGAAACUGUGCAGCUUGAGUGCAGGAGAGGUAAGUGGAAUUCCUAGUGUAGCGGUGAAAUGCGUAGAUAUUAGGAGGAACACCAGUGGCGAAGGCGGCUUACUGGACUGUAACUGACGUUGAGGCUCGAAAGCGUGGGGAGCAAACAGGAUUAGAUACCCCAGUAGUC